rnacentral:lncRNA from 1 species
AAGGACAGACAGCAGAUUAUCACCUCACAUAUUUUUCUGCCGAGUGUGUCGUCAGUUUUUGCAUGGAGGAGAAUGAGGAUCUGAUCAAUGCGCUCAUGUCCGGACUAACCUAAAAUUCUACAUGUACGUGUACAUCAGAGUGUGUCAUCCAUUCCAGAUUAAAUCAUCAAACCAGCACGCCAAGCUGGAGAGAUUACCUGAGAUCAGAGAGAAUUGUUGUCGCCUUGUCGGAUCCGAAUAUAGGGCACACGGAAAACAUUGCAGCUGAUGGUUGCGCGAGGAUGCCAUGGACG